CGACCACAACGGGUGAGCCUGCGGUUUAAUUGGACUCAACGCCGGGCAGCUCACCGGAUAAGACAGCUGGAUGAUAGCCGGGCUGAAGACUCUGCUUGACUAGCUGAGAGGAGGUGCAUGGCCGUCGUCAGUUCGUACUGUGAAGCAUCCUGUUAAGUCAGGCAACGAGCGAGACCCACGCCAACAGUUGCCAGCAUGUCCUCCGGGAUGAUGGGGACACUGUUGGGGCCGCCUCUGCUAAAGAGGAGGAAGGAAUGGGCAACGGUAGGUCAGCAUGCCCCGAAUUAUCCGGGCUACACGCGGGCUACAAUGGUCAGGACAAUGGGUAUCGACACCGAGAGGUGGAGGCAAUCUCCUAAACCUGUCCUUAGUUCGGAUUGUGGGCUGCAACUCGCCCACAUGAAGCUGGAAUCCGUAGUAAUCGCGUUUCAAAAUAGCGCGGUGAAUAUGUCCCUGCUCCUU
rnacentral:rRNA from 1 species